GACGAACGCUGGCGGCGUGCUUAACACAUGCAAGUCGAACGAAAAGAGGGAAAGAGCUUGCUCUUUCCGGAAUUGAGUGGCAAACGGGUGAGUAACACGUAAACAACCUGCCUUCAGGAUGGGGACAACAGACGGAAACGACUGCUAAUACCGAAUAAGUUCCAAGGGCCGCAUGGCCCAUGGAAGAAAAGGUGGCCUCUACCUGUAAGCUAUCGCCUGAAGAGGGGUUUGCGUCUGAUUAGCUGGUUGGAGGGGUAACGGCCCACCAAGGCGACGAUCAGUAGCCGGUCUGAGAGGAUGAACGGCCACACUGGAAUUGAGACACGGUCCAGACUCCUACGGGAGGCAGCAGUGGGGAAUCUUCCGCAAUGGGCGAAAGCCUGACGGAGCAACGCCGCGUGAGUGAUGACGGCCUUCGGGUUGUAAAACUCUGUGAUCCGGGACGAAAAGGCAGAGUGCGAAGAACAAACUGCAUUGACGGUACCGGAAAAGCAAGCCACGGCUAACUACGU
rnacentral:rRNA from 1 species